UGUUUAUCAACAUCACUUGGGUACCUGCAAAAAGGUUUCCCAUGAGAAACAGUGUGCUAGUACUAGUAGUUAUCCACACACAGAGAGAGAGAUAGAAAUAGAGAGAUGGGCCCUAUGAUACGGAAUCAAAUCCACAAGAAAAGAAAAGAAAACAAAAAAAAAAAAAGAAGAGGGCUAGAGGAAAUAUAUAUGUAUGUAUAUAUAUACAUGGAAAGGGAAGUAAAUAAUUGAAAGUAAUAUGACAAAAAAGAAACUUGGAAUCUGAAUGGAGGUGGUUAGAAACUAACAAGACAAAUUGGAUUUGUUUUUGAGAGCAAAAUUAAUUGUGACUAAGCAAUAUGUGUAUGUGAACAACAGCUAGCAAGAUAUUUGCAUUGUUUAGUCUUUUGUUUAAUUUGGAGAGAACAUUG
rnacentral:misc_RNA from 1 species